AAUAUAUCUACAAGAUCAAUCCUAACUUAAACUACACGCACACAAUAUUACAAUGUCUAACACGGGCAUUGCUUGUCAAUGGUAAGGGAGGGGAGCAUGGAAAAGUUGGUGGUGCCAGGGUUUUGGAGGUCGGGAAAGGAGUGGCCCUCUUUGGUUUUUUCACACCGUCACAUGCAUGACCCCAAAACAAAUUUUACUGGCAGUAGCAAUAUAUGUCUGGUGAGCUAUGAACAUACAGAGAUUAAUUGGCACGGAUCUUGAUUUCUUGCCGGAUGCCAACACCUUUCAUGCUCACUUUUGAUCGGUCCAUUUUCCAAGCGUCAGAA
rnacentral:lncRNA from 1 species